rnacentral:rRNA from 1 species
GUCCAGACUCCUACGGGAGGCAGCAGUGGGGGAUAUUGCACAAUGGGGGGAACCCUGAUGCAGCGACGCCGCGUGGGUGAAGGAGCGUUUCGGCGCGUAAAGCCCUAUCGGCAGGGAAGAAGGAGGACGGUACCUGACUAAGAAGCCCCGACUAACUACGUGCCAGCAGCCGCGGUAAUACGUAGGGGGCAAGCGUUAUCCGGAUUUACUGGGUGUAAAGGGAGCGUAGACGGCAGUGCAAGUCCGGAGUGAAAGCCCGGGGCUCAACCCUGGGACUGCUCUGGAAACUGUAAAGCUGGAGUGCGGGAGGGGCAGGCGGAAUUCCUGGUGUAGCGGUGAAAUGCGUAGAUAUUAGGAGGAACACCAGUGGCGAAGGCGGCUUGCUGGACUGUAAAUGACGCUGAGGCUCGAAAGCGUGGGGAGCAAACAGGAUUAGAUACCCUCGUA